AUCGAUCACUCUGCUGCCUGGCGUUGGACGCGACGCACCGCCAUCUUGAGCCAAGCUGUUGGGCCUGUGGAUUAACCUCCUUCUCUCGCAAGCCAUGGCAAUGGAUGCGCAGCAGCAGAACAAGAACUUGGAGGGCGUCAAGAAGGAAGCUCAGACGCCCAAGACCAACGAGAAUGGCAGCGAUAUGGACAAUUUCCGAGGUGGGAGAGGAGGCGGCCGCGGCAGCUUCCGUGGCAACCGGGGCGGAGGACCUGGCGGCCCUGGAGGACGAGGCGGCGGCAAUGCGUCUGCGGGCUCAGUGCAAACCUCCACACCGGUGCCCGGAGGUAUCGGCAGCCUAGGGCAGAGUAACAAUCUCGGGCAAGUUGCUCAGGGCGGUGGCGGCGGCGGCGGUGGUGGCGGUGGCGGCGGCGGCGGCGGCGGCGUCGGCGUCGUUGGCGGCGGCGUUGGCGGCGGCGGCGGCGGCGGCGGCGGCGGGGCGAGAGGAGGCUACAACGACCGCAAUGAACGUGGUGGAGGUGGAGGGUUUUAUCGUGGCGGCAGGGGCGGCCGUGGGGGUCGCGGCGGCGGCGGAGGCGGAGGCGGAGGAAAUUUCAACCAAGGCGACAGAGACAAGUUCCCUCAUGAUAGGGUUUUAGAACGUCUGAAGGCCCUCUCAGGACCAAUGAUCGACUUAGUGCCUCGUGAAGAAAAUGUCCGGAAAUUCUCAAAUCAUUGCAGACUUUGGGUUGGAAAUCUUCCUCUUGACAUCAAGGAAGAUGAUGUUAAGGAAUUGUUCAAACCAUUUGGAGAGUUUGAUGAAGUGUACUUUGACAAGAAUAAAGGCUUUGCAUUUGUGCGGAUGGACUAUAAGAGCAAUGCAGAGAAAGCAAGGCAGGAGUUACACCUGAAGGACUACAAGGGUCGGCAACUGAAGAUCAGGUUUUCUUCACCAGGCACAGCCUUGAAAGUCAGGAAUCUGUCCACUUGGGUGACAAAUGAAUUGCUGGAGAAGGCAUUUAGUGUUUUUGGAGAGCUAGAGAAAGCAGUUGUGAUCACAGAUGAACGUGGUCGUGCUACAGGUGAAGGUGUUGUGGAAUUUUGUAAGAAGCCAGCUGCUAAUUUGGCUCUCAAGAAGUGUCAGGAUGGUUGCUUCUUUAUGGUAUCGUCACCACGUCCAGUUAUUGUUGAACCAAUGGCUGUAGUGGAUGACAAUGAAGGCAUGAGUGAGAUCAAUGUAAACAAGCGAAACCCCGAGUACAUCAAGGAAAGGCAACAAGGCCCUCGUUUUGCUCAGCCAGGAUCCUUUGAAUAUGAGUAUGGCUUAAAAUGGAAGCAGUUGUAUGAACUAUUUGACAAGAAGAAAGAUUCUCUGGAAAGGGAGUUAACUGAUGAGAAGAGGAAACUUGAAGAGCAGAUUGAAUAUGCAAAAUAUGAGCAUGACACAGAAAUGUUGAGAGAACAGCUGCGUCAGAGGGAGGAAAUGAAUCAGCGCACUAAGUCAGACUUUGAACAACGCCAGCGUGAAUGGGAAGAACAUAGACGUCAAGAGGAGGAGCGUCAACGGCGACAGGAGGAGGAGUUGUCAAUGAAGUUCCGUCAGCAGGAAGAGGAACUGAGGAGGCGCCAGGAAGAGAACAGACAGUUUAUGGCAGAACGGGGAAAUGAUCUAAUGAAGAGUGAAAACAGCCAAGACAGCUUUGGCAGUGGUGGCUACCAAGGGAUGGAAGGUAGCAACUGGCGACGCACCAGUGACAGUUACGGCACACAAGGAGGCAGCAGCUGGCGUGGAGGAGGAAGCGACUCCUGGGGACGCUCAGCUGGUGCAGGUAGUCGAGGAGGUGUUGGUAGUGGCACUGGCCAGAAUUGGGGAGACAGUGCAUGGGAUGGACGUCCAGACCCUUGGCAGAGUGACAACCGUGGCAGUUACCAGAGAGGCAACAGUGAGAGUGAGUUGCCUCCUCCACCGAUGGUAUUCUGUCGAGGAAGAGGAUAUGGCUACCGACGCAACACCAGGAUGGGGGUAGUGACGUGAUGUGGAAUGCUGCGUGAACAGGGCAUCAGUUUGGCACAGCAGAAGGGUGAUGCAUUAAUAUGGGGAAGGGGGGGCAAAUAUUGAGGCACCAAGGAGGCAUUCACAACUGCACAGGGUGUAGUCAGAGGAGGUUGGCCUCUGCUGUGGGGAUAUGCACCCUGGAGUCAAGGUGAGAUGACAGCGGUUUAGUAGAAGAGGCUGAGGAGUAGCAGUUUAGGGUGGAGACCAAUCAGAUUGAGCCAUAAAAUGUAGAUGCUCUGGCAGUGAUAGGAAGCUUGUAUUUUCCAUCAGGCAAAAGAGAGUGGCUAAAUAAAAAUAAAUGAGGGAAAGAGGGGAAGGAAGGGGUAGAAAGGAUCUGAAUGUGAAUUUUAUCACUUUUUUCUUUGCUGUUAAAAUUUAUACUGUUAUUGGUAUUAUUAUUGUUGUUAUUAUUAUGAUUAUUUUAAUUUUAGCAAGAAACAAUUUUAAGGAAAGGGGUAAAGGUGAUGCAGGUAGUACUAUAGUGACUUUUUGUUGACUUAGUACAUGUUGAGCUAUUUAUGUGCAAACACAAUCAUUAAACUAAAAUCAUAGUGGAUAUGGCAUAUGUCAUGCCAUCCCAGCAUUAUCAUUAUCAUUAUGAUAUUAAUUUGUAGCAAGAAACAAUUUUAAGGGAAGAGGUAAACAGGUGAUGCAGGUAGUACUAGUAGUGACUUUUUGGUUAGUAAGUACAUGUUGAGCUAUUUAUGUGCAAACACAAUCAAUAAACUAAAAUCACAGUGGAUAUAGAAUAUACUGUAUGUCAUGCCAUCCCAGCAUAAAGGAUUUCAGAGAAAAGCAAGGGACUGGUUUUGAAAGAUUAAGGCUCCUAAUGCUCUUCCUAAAAUUUUAAUUUAUUUGGUGGUGACUUUUGGGGCAGAUGUUAUUGAAAUUAUUGGCAAUAAUUUCAGGGGUUGGUUUCAUAUAUCAAAUAAUACCAAAGACCAUAUUUUGGCAAAAGAAUAAUUCUUUCUUGGCCCUGGCCAUUACCUCUAAUGUUCUUAUUUGUGUGUGAAUACUAGCGAUACUGUGUAGAAUUUAAUGAAGUACCGUAAUUUCAGCAGGUAAAGUUCUUUAAAUAUGGUUUACUGAAAUGUGUGCUAAAUUGAUUAAAUAUGAUUCUGACCUUUGAACUUUUGAUGCCAGGAAUGCAUGUAUACAUGCACAGCCCACUGUGGUUUUAUUAAAUUUGUUUAAAAUCAUGACUCCAGAAGUGCUUUGUCACCAAGGAAUUAAUUAUUAGACCUGUGUCACUUGCAUCUGUUUACCCCAUACUAUCACCAAAUCCACCCCCCCUCCACCCCCCAUCAUCACCAUCAUCACCAUCAUCACCUCC